UAUUGACGCAUUCGUUCCAAUGUACUGCCCAAUACAAGGCGACAUCUAGUGUAUAUAUCUAUGGCAAAACAUUUGCACUCAGUACUUCUGCUUUUUUCUUGACUUUGUCUUUUAGUUUGUUGGCUAAACGUGGUGUGAGGGAGGACAUUGUGACGUUUGACGCCAGAAACAUCACACAUGAGAUCCGGGAAAGUGUUGAGGAGUUACUGCACAGGAACAGGGCCUCCUGUGUGUGCCUGUGUGUUUGUUUGUUUGUUUGUUUUUGUGUGUGUGUGUGUGUGUGUGUGUGUAUGCACACACACACACAAACAAACAAAGAAUCAAACACACACACAGUCACAGAGCUAAGCACUGAACUCAAGUUAAGUUUGAAAGCCCACCAUCGCUAAUUCUCAAUUGUAAAAUUAAGAUAAAUUAUCCCAGAUCGAUUCAGGGUUGCAUCUAACUGAAUUAGUUUUUCUAGAGAAGAUUAAGAACAAAAAAAAUCCACAGGUUUGUGUUUCAGAACGCAAAGCGUGCAAGUGCAGCAUCUACUCCUUUGGCUGCAUGGGUGAAAGCAAAUGUCCAGUACUCUCAUGUCCUGGAGAAGAUUCAACCACUGGAGACUGAGCAAGCUGGACUGAUGGGGUGGCUGAAAUCUUCACUGAUAACUUCGACUAUCAGAUUCUCGUCAACGAGGAGGUCAGAGCACUUACACACCUCACACGCUAGUAACUUUAUUCAGCUUUUUAAUCAUGCUAGCCAGAGUUAGCAGUUCUGUACAGAGUAAACUGUAUGAAUAAACAACUGCUUAUAGUAGCAUGUAGCAGUGUGUUGUUUUCACUGAUUUUCCUGUUAGAUUUUGGGUAAUCAGAUCCACAUUUUUGUGAGUAAAAAUGGCUACGGCGCAGGCGUCUCCAACCUGCACAUGUACGACUCCGUGUCCUGUGAUCUGAUUGGCCGCUGGUCGUAUCCCAUCACCCCGAAGCUAACUUCUCAGAUGAAGAGGGGCGGAGCUGCAAGCACUAGCGCCACAACGUUCACCGUGAAGCGGGCGUCGGCCUGGGACACGGCAUUUUGAUGGAGGAGAACGUUCUGAUUGGACGAAACACGGUGAUCGGCGCCAACUGCAGUCUGUCAAACACUGUGAUUGGGGCUAACUGUCUGAUCGGUAACACUUCCUGCUUCACCCUCACUUCCUGUUUUUCUCUCUGACGUGUGUGUAUGUGUGUGUGUGUGUGUGUGUGUGUGUGCAUGUGUGCAUGUGUGCAUGUGUGUAUCUGUGUGUCUCCUGGUGUUGGAUCGAUUCGUUGGAUUUGUAUUGGUGACGGUGUGACGGUUUGUCAGUCUGUGAUCUGUGAUGGAGUGGAGGUGAAACACAGAGUUACACUCAAACCACAGUGUGUACUCGCUUAUAGUGCAAUGACUGCCUGAAGUCUGGAGCCCAUGGACAUCACCAGAGGCUGGGUUUCCUCCUUUCUGGUGCUUUACCAGGCCUUAACUGCAGCUGUCUUCAGUUGAUGUUUGUUUAAUCUACCAAACUGUUGAUCUGGCCACUCCUAAUGUUCCUGCUAUCUCUCUGAUGGAUUUGUUUUUUUUACGAAGCCUAAUGAUCUCCAUGCAAGCCUGUUUGACUUGCAUGGAGAGCUCCUUUGAAGGGAUGAUGUAGGUUUACAGCAACAGAUUCCAAGUGCAAAUACCACACUUAGAAUCAACUCCAGACCUGUUACCUGCCAGUAACAGGCAGAAAUAAUGAUGAAGAAAUAAUGAAGGAAUAGCCUACACCGGUACAUGAAACAGCUUUUUAUUGAAUUCAAUUACUUUUGGUCCCUUGAAAAAGGGGGCUGGCUACUCUCAAGAGCUGUAAUUCCUAAACCCUUCUUCCAAUUUGGAUUUAACACUAGAAAUACUGGAUUUUUUAUUUUCUGGUGCAGGUCCCAAGGUGUGAUUCCCCCCUGUUGAGAUUUUCACAGUUCUUCAGCCCUGCUUUUGUUGCGCAAACAGCCCCAU